GUCCGUUUUUGACUCUUCUAGUCCGUUUUGCUGGUGUCUUUUGGGACUUGCACUAGUCCAUUCUUUAGGGUCCGAUUCAUUCUUCUCCUCUUCUAUAUACCUAAGUACAAUCAAGGUACAACACUUAGGUAGUAUAUAAUUCUCAUUAAUGUUAAAAUGAAUAUCACAAAGUAGCGCGUGGACCUCUUGUUGUAGCUUCUUUGUACGACUACGUGUAAUCAGUCCAUCA
rnacentral:lncRNA from 1 species